UGCUAUUCUUCCGCCAGACACCGGACACUCGGACGUGUCAAGAGUCGAAUCGCAGCCGCCUCGUCGCACCUUCUGACGUCUCUCUCCGGCUUCAAGCAAAAUGAUUUCUGACGUUCAACUUGCUGUGUUUGUCAACAUUCUAGGAGUGUCCCUCUUCUUGAUGGUGGUUCUUUAUCAUUAUAUUGCUGCAAAUAAUCCAAAGACCCACUAAUAGCACUCUUGAGUGUUAUUUUGCAGUAUGAAAGUAAG